rnacentral:precursor_RNA from 1 species
CGGCUCAUCGUAUGGCAGUUUGCUGUGUAGUAUUGCCAGCUGCCUAGCGAAGGGCAAC